ACUAUAGGACAUUAAGUAGAUCCUCUGGGGUUGCAGAGGUGAAUUGACUUGGAUGUUGCCUUCUGCAGGUAGGAAGAAGGUAAGGAUGGGCCCUAAAACAGCUGGUGUAGAGGGGAGAACUUCUUCAGAGCCAUUUGGAUACUAAUGGCCCUGAUAUCCAAGCCAGUGAUCUCAUUAUGACAUCAGCUUUUUGUAUUAUGGAGCAGUGGAGUCUGUAGUUGAGCAGGAGUGGUUGUCCAAGGCAGGGAGUGGGGAGAGAGGCCAGAGAGAGAGAUGUCACCACCCGGGACAGUUCUGUUGGGGACAAGUUUGUUGCUCAGACAUAUAAAUGGUCCUGACUGGGGUUGAACAGUUUGCCACUUUGAUGACGUGGCACUUGAGUGGGCCUUGAAGAAGUGAUUUCCUCCAGUACGAGGGGAUUUAGGGAGGGUGUAGGGA